rnacentral:rRNA from 1 species
CGCAGCCGCGGUAAUUCCAGCUCCAAUAGCGUAUAUUAAAGUUGUUGCAGUUAAAAAGCUCGUAGUUGAAUUUCGGGGUUAGUACGCUGGUCGUGCCUUCGGUAUGUACUGGUGUUACUGAUUCCUACCUUCUGAAGAACCGUCAUGUCAUUAAUUUGGUGUGGCGGGGAAUCAGGACUGUUACUUUGAAAAAAUUAGAGUGUUUAAAGCAGGCUCGCGCUUGAAUACAUUAGCAUGGAAUAAUGAAAUAGGACGUUUGAUCCUAUUUUGUUGGUUUCUAGGAUUGACGUAAUGAUUAAUAGGGAUAGUUGGGGCAUUAGUAUUCAAUUGUCAGAGGUGAAAUUCUUGGAUUUAUUGAAGACUAACUACUGCGAAAGCAUUUUGCCAAGGAUGUUUUCAUUAAUCAAGAACGAAAGUUAGGGGAUCGAAGACGAUCAGAUACCGUCGUAGUCUUAACCAUAAACUAUGCCGAACUAGGGAUCGGAUGAUGUUAAUUUUUAAUGACUCAUUCGG